rnacentral:rRNA from 1 species
UACGUAGGCAGCAAGCGUUGUUCGGAGUUACUGGGCGUAAAGGGUGUGUAGGCGGUUGGAUAAGUGUGGUGUGAAAUCUCCCGGCUUAACUGGGAGGGUGCGCUACAAACUGUCUGACUAGAGUGUGGGAUGGGAAAGUGGAAUUCCUGGUGUAGCGGUGAAAUGCGUAGAUAUCAGGAGUAACACCGGUGGUGUAGACGGCUUUCUGGACCAUAACUGGCGCUGAAACACGAAAGCGUGGGUAGCAAACAGG